AUUGAACGCUGGCGGCAGGCCUAACACAUGCAAGUCGAGCGGUAGCACAGAGAGCUUGCUCUCGGGUGACGAGCGGCGGACGGGUGAGUAAUGUCUGGGAAACUGCCUGAUGGAGGGGGAUAACUACUGGAAACGGUAGCUAAUACCGCAUAAUGUCGCAAGACCAAAGUGGGGGACCUUCGGGCCUCAUGCCAUCAGAUGUGCCCAGAUGGGAUUAGCUAGUAGGUGGGGUAAUGGCUCACCUAGGCGACGAUCCCUAGCUGGUCUGAGAGGAUGACCAGCCACACUGGAACUGAGACACGGUCCAGACUCCUACGGGAGGCAGCAGUGGGGAAUAUUGCACAAUGGGCGCAAGCCUGAUGCAGCCAUGCCGCGUGUGUGAAGAAGGCCUUCGGGUUGUAAAGCACUUUCAGCGGGGAGGAAGGCGAUAAGGUUAAUAACCUUGUCGAUUGACGUUACCCGCAGAAGAAGCACCGGCUAACUCCGUGCCAGCAGCCGCGGUAAUACGGAGGGUGCAAGCGUUAAUCGGAAUUACUGGGCGUAAAGCGCACGCAGGCGGUCUGUCAAGUCGGAUGUGAAAUCCCCGGGCUCAACCUGGGAACUGCAUUCGAAACUGGCAGGCUAGAGUCUUGUAGAGGGGGGUAGAAUUCCAGGUGUAGCGGUGAAAUGCGUAGAGAUCUGGAGGAAUACCGGUGGCGAAGGCGGCCCCCUGGACAAAGACUGACGCUCAGGUGCGAAAGCGUGGGGAGCAAACAGGAUUAGAUACCCUGGUAGUCCACGCCGUAAACGAUGUCGAUUUGGAGGUUGUGCCCUUGAGGCGUGGCUUCCGGAGCUAACGCGUUAAAUCGACCGCCUGGGGAGUACGGCCGCAAGGUUAAAACUCAAAUGAAUUGACGGGGGCCCGCACAAGCGGUGGAGCAUGUGGUUUAAUUCGAUGCAACGCGAAGAACCUUACCUGGUCUUGACAUCCACAGAACUUUCCAGAGAUGGAUUGGUGCCUUCGGGAACUGUGAGACAGGUGCUGCAUGGCUGUCGUCAGCUCGUGUUGUGAAAUGUUGGGUUAAGUCCCGCAACGAGCGCAACCCUUAUCCUUUGUUGCCAGCGGUCCGGCCGGGAACUCAAAGGAGACUGCCAGUGAUAAACUGGAGGAAGGUGGGGAUGACGUCAAGUCAUCAUGGCCCUUACGACCAGGGCUACACACGUGCUACAAUGGCAUAUACAAAGAGAAGCGACCUCGCGAGAGCAAGCGGACCUCAUAAAGUAUGUCGUAGUCCGGAUUGGAGUCUGCAACUCGACUCCAUGAAGUCGGAAUCGCUAGUAAUCGUAGAUCAGAAUGCUACGGUGAAUACGUUCCCGGGCCUUGUACACACCGCCCGUCACACCAUGGGAGUGGGUUGCAAAAGAAGUAGGUAGCUUAACCUUCGGGAGGGCGCUUACCACUUUGUGAUUCAUGACUGGGGUGA
rnacentral:rRNA from 1 species